UGUAUUGUUUGUAAAUAAUAAUAGAGAGGUUAUGGGAUUUUAACGUCGCAAUACGCCGGUCAUGUGAAAUGACCAAAUGAGGGAAGGGGCCCCUGAAGGCGGGGAGGGACGACCGACCGCCAGUGUCUCUCACCGUCGAUGUUGAGCAUCAUCUUCCACUGCGACGGCCGCACGGACUGGUGGAAGCCGAACCACACCUCCCGCCCGCCGCCCAGCGGGUGGUAGUAGCCGUCGGGGGACGAGAAGAACGAGCGGCCCACCGGGGUGUACGUCAUGGAGGGCAGGUGGCGCAUCACCACGUCCAGGGCCUGCGGAGCGGGGAGGGGGGGCGCCCGGCUUGUGUAGUAUAAAUAAAUAUAAAUUUUGUUUUGAACAAGAAA